rnacentral:rRNA from 1 species
GACGAACGCUGGCGGCGUGCUUAACACAUGCAAGUCGAACGGUGAAGCGCCUUCCUUUUUGGUGAGUGUGGAUGAGUGGCGAACGGGUGAGUAACACGUGAGUAACCUGCCCCCUUCUUCUGGAUAACCGCAUGAAAGUGUGGCUAAUACGGGAUAUUCUGGGUCUGUCGCCUGAUGGGUCUGGGAAAGAUAUUGUUUCGGUGGGGGAUGGGCUCGCGGCCUAUCAGCUUGUUGGUGGGGUGAUGGCCUACCAAGGCGGUGACGGGUAGCCGGCCUGAGAGGGUGGACGGUCACACUGGGACUGAGACACGGCCCAGACUCCUACGGGAGGCAGCAGUGGGGAAUAUUGCACAAUGGGCGCAAGCCUGAUGCAGCGACGCCGCGUGAGGGAUGGAGGCCUUCGGGUUGUGAACCUCUUUCGCCAGUGAAGCAGGCCUGCCUCGUUUGUGGGUGGGUUGACGGUAGCUGGAUAAGAAGCGCCGGCUAACUACGUG